CCUACGGGUGGCAGCAGUGGGGAAUAUUGGGCAAUGGGCGCAAGCCUGACCCAGCAACGCCGCGUGAAGGAAGAAGGCUUUCGGGUUGUAAACUUCUUUUGUCAGGGACGAAGCAAGUGACGGUACCUGACGAAUAAGCCACGGCUAACUACGUGCCAGCAGCCGAGGUAAUACGUAGGUGGCAGGCGUUAUCCGGAUGUAAUGGGUGUAAAGGGCGUGUAGGCGGGAAUGCAAGUCAGAUGUGAAAACUAUGGGCUUAACCCAUAGCCUGCCUUUGAAACGGGAUUUCUUGAGUGCUGGGGAGGCAAACGGAAUUCCGUGUGUAGCGGUGAAAUGCGUAGAUAUAAGGAAGAACACCAGUGGCGAAGGCGGAUUACUGGACAGUAACUGACGCUGAGGCGCGAAAGCGUGGGGAGCAAACAGGAUUAGAUACCCGUGUAGUC
rnacentral:rRNA from 1 species